AUUAUUCAGUUGGUGCAAAAGUAAUUGCGGUUUUUGCAAAAAAAAAAAAAAAAGUGAAAACCGCAAUUACUUUUACACCAACAUAAUACAUGGAA
ensembl:miRNA